GUUGUAAGUGACAUCUUACAAGUACGUGAAUCUGAUUGCUUGAGUGGAUGUGACUGGGAUAUGAGGGGAGUGAGGCUAUGGCACUGGGAGGGCAGAAGAAUAUGACCGAUUCAGAGUUUGGAGCUGGGUGGGUGGCUGGAUGUCAAUGUGUGAAUGGGUGAAAGCAGAAAGUUUGUGUGAAUGUGUCAUGUUGGGGGCGUGCAUAAAAGAUGGGAGGUAAAU